UACGAAGGGGGGCUAGCGUUGUUCGGAAUUACUGGGCGUAAAGCGCGUGUAGGCGGCUAAGUAAGUCGGGCGUGAAAUCCCACGGCUCAACCGUGGAAGUGCACUCGAAACUGCAUAGCUAGAGUCCUGGAGAGGAAGGUGGAAUGCUUGGUGUAGAGGUGAAAUUCGUAGAUAUCAAGCGGAACACCGGUGGCGAAGGCGGCCUUCUGGGACAGUGACUGACGCUGAGACGCGAAAGCGUGGGGAGCAAACAGG
rnacentral:rRNA from 1 species